GUCGAACGCUGGCGGCGUGCCUAAUACAUGCAAGUCGAGCGGACUUUCAAGAAGCUUGCUUUUUGAAAGUUAGCGGCGGACGGGUGAGUAACACGUGGGCAACCUGCCUGUAAGACGGGGAUAACUCCGGGAAACCGGGGCUAAUACCGAAUAAUAUCUUUCUUCGCAUGAAGGAAGGUUGAAAGGCGGCGCAAGCUGCCGCUUGCAGAUGGGCCCGCGGCGCAUUAGCUAGUUGGUGAGGUAACGGCUCACCAAGGCGACGAUGCGUAGCCGACCUGGGAGGGUGAUCGGCCACACUGGGACUGGGACACGGCCCAGACUCCUACGGGAGGCAGCAGUAGGGAAUCUUCCGCAAUGGACGAAAGUCUGACGGAGUAACGCCGCGUGAGCGAAGAAGGUCUUCGGAUCGUAAAGCUCUGUUGUCAGGGAAGAACAAGUACCGUUCGAAUAGGGCGGUACCUUGACGGUACCUGACCAGAAAGCCACGGCUAACUACGUGCCAGCCGCCGCCGUAA
rnacentral:rRNA from 1 species